rnacentral:rRNA from 1 species
AUUGAACGCUGGCGGCAGGCCUAACACAUGCAAGUCGAACGGCAGCACAGUACUUGCUCCUGCUUUCAGCGGGCGACGGGCGGGUGGUGCCUGGAAACAUCCCUAGCUGCUUUGGCUUAGGUGCUGACGCAGGGACUCUUACGCCAUUAGUGCAGACGACCUACGGGUGAAAGCUUCGGAUCUUCGGCCCUCAGGUGAGCCUAGGUCGGAUUAGCUAGUUGGUGGGGUAAAGGCCUACCAAGGCGACGAUCCGUAACUGGUCUGAGAGGAUGAUCAGUCACACUGGAACUGAGACACGGUCCAGACUCCUACGGGAGGCAGCAGUGGGGAAUAUUGGACAAUGGGCGAAAGCCUGAUCCAGCCAUGCCGCGUGUGUGAAGAAGGUCUUCGGAUUGUAAAGCACUUUUAGUUGGGAGGAAGAGCAGUAAGUUAAUACCUCGCUGUUUUGACGUUACCAACAGAAUAAGCACCGGCUAACUUCGUG